rnacentral:rRNA from 1 species
UUAAUUUAUUANUUUUUGCGGUGGCACAGAAUCGGAGGCCCCGACUGUUUACUAAAAACACAACACAGUGCAAUCAUUAAUAUGAUAGUAUACUGUNNGAAAUUUGCCCGAUGCCAUUAAUAUAAGAGCNGGUCAUAGGGAACUGUGACUAAUCGAAAGUCUGGUUAAUAGCGGUCUUAACUAUGAGGAUCCUAAGGUAGCAAAAUCAAUUGGCCAUUAAAUGUGGUCCGGUAUCAAUAAUGUAACGAUGGUCUCACUGUCUCUACAACUUGCUCAGUGAAAUUGAAUUACGCGUGCAGAUGCGCGUUGCCUCCAGGGGGACGGG